GUCUUUUUGAUAAUAAUUUAAAGUCUGGCCUGCCCAAUGAUAAUUUAAAUGGCCGCGGUAUUUUGACCGUGCAAAGGUAGCAUAAUCAUUAGUUUUUUAAUUGAAAGCUUGUAUGAAAGGUUGAACGAGAAAAUUACUGUCUCAAUUUUAUUUAAUAAGAAUUUUAUUUUUAAGUUAAAAAGCUUAAAUAAUUUUAAAAGACGAGAAGACCCUAUAGAGUUUUAUAUUUUUAAUAAUAAAUUUUUAAAUUAUUUAUUUAAUUAUUUAGAAUAUUUUAUUGGGGUGAUAAAUAAAUUUAAUAAACUUUAUUUUUUUUAAAACAUUUAUUUAUGUUAAUAAUGAUCCAAAUUUUUUGAUUAUAAGAUUAAAUUACCUUAGGGAUAACAGCGUAAUUUUUUUUGAGAGUUCAUAUCGAAAAGAAAGAUUGCGACCUCGAUGUUGGAUUAAAAUUUAUUUUUGGUGUAGAAGCUAAAAAAUUAAGUCUGUUCGACUUUUAAAAUUUUACAUGAUCUGAGUUUAAACCGGUGUGAGCCAGGUUGGUUUCUAUCUUUAAAUAAUAGAAAAUAUUUUAGUACGAAAGGACCAAAUAUUUAUAAAAUUUAUUUUGUUAUUGAAUAUUAUUGUUAUUUUGGCAGAUUAGUGCAUUAAAUUUAGAAUUUAAUUAUGUAAUUUAUUACAAAUAAUACUUGUUUUAUAAGGAUUUAAUUUUAAUAUUUAUUAGAAGUUUAUUAUUAGUAAUUUGUAUUUUAAUU
rnacentral:rRNA from 1 species